rnacentral:rRNA from 1 species
UACGGGGGGGGCAAGCGUUGUUCGGAAUUACUGGGCGUAAAGGGCUCAUAGGCGGCCAACUAAGUCGGAUGUGAAAUCCCCAGGCUCAACCUGGGAACUGCAUCCGAUACUGGAUGGCUUGAAUCCGGGAGAGGGAUGCAGAAUUCCAGGUGUAGCGGUGAAAUGCGUAGAUAUCUGGAGGAAUACCGGUGGCGAAGGCGGCAUCCUGGACCGGCAUUGACGCUGAGGAGCGAAAGCUAGGGGAGCAAACGGG